rnacentral:rRNA from 1 species
UACGAAGGUGGCAAGCGUUGUUCGGAUUUACUGGGCGUACAGGGAGCGUAGGCGGUUGGAUAAGCCCUCCGUGAAAUCUCCAGGCUUAACCUGGAAAGUGCAGAGGGGACUGUCCAGCUAGAGGAUGGGAGAGGAGCGCGGAAUUCCCGGUGUAGCGGUGAAAUGCGUAGAGAUCGGGAGGAAGGCCGGUGGCGAAGGCGGCGCUCUGGAACAUUUUCUGACGCUGAGGCUCGAAAGCGUGGGGAGGCAAACAGGG